UGAAGAAGGCCUUCGGGUUGUAAAGCUCUUUUGUCAGGGAAGAAACGGUGGGAGCUAAUAUCUCCUGCUAAUGACGGUACCUGAAGAAUAAGCACCGGCUAACUACGUGCCAGCAGCCGCGGUAAUACGUAGGGUGCAAGCGUUAAUCGGAAUUACUGGGCGUAAAGCGUGCGCAGGCGGUUUUGUAAGUCUGAUGUGAAAUCCCCGGGCUCAACCUGGGAAUUGCAUUGGAGACUGCAAGGCUAGAAUCUGGCAGAGGGGGGUAGAAUUCCACGUGUAGCAGUGAAAUGCGUAGAGAUGUGGAGGAAUACCGAUGGCGAAGGCAGCCAUCUGGCCUAAUACUGACGCUGAGGUACGAAAGCAUGGGGAGCAAACAGGAUUAGAUACCCUGGUAGUCCAUGCCGUAAACGAUGUCUACUAGCCGUUGGGGCCUUUGAGGCUUUAGUGGCGCAGCUAACGCGAUAAGUAGACCGCCUGGGGAGUACGGUCGCAAGACUAAAACUCAAAUGAAUUGACGGGGGCCCGCACAAGCGGUGGAGCAUGUGGUUUAAUUCGAUGCAACGCGAAGAACCUUACCUGGUCUUGACAUGUCAAGAAGUCUGCAGAGAUGCGGAUGUGCCUUCGGGAACUUGAACACAGGUGCUGCAUGGCUGUCGUCAGCUCGUGUCGUGAGAUGUU
rnacentral:rRNA from 1 species